rnacentral:rRNA from 1 species
ACGGAGGGUGCAAGCGUUGUUCGGAAUCACUGGGCGUAAAGGGCGCGCAGGCGGUUUGAUAAGUCAGAUGUGAAAGCCCAUGGCUUAACUGUGGAAGUGCAUUUGAAACUGUCAGACUUGAGUAUCAGAGGGGAAAGUGGAAUUCCCGGUUUAGGGGGGAAAUUCGUAGAAUUCCGGAGGAAUACCGGUGGCGAAGGCGACUUUCUGGCUGAAUACUGACGCUGAGGCGCGAAAGCGUGGGGAGCAAACAG